rnacentral:rRNA from 1 species
UACGUAGGGCGCAAGCGUUGUCCGGAAUUAUUGGGCGUAAAGAGCUCGUAGGUGGCGUGUCGCGUCUGCCGUGAAAGCCCAUGGCUUAACUGUGGGUCUGCGGGCGAUACGGGCAGACUGGAGUACUGCAGGGGAGACUGGAAUUCCUGGUGUAGCGGUGGAAUGCGCAGAUAUCAGGAGGAACACCGGUGGCGAAGGCGGGUCUCUGGGCAGUAACUGACGCUGAGGAGCGAAAGCGUGGGGAGCGAACAGG